UUUGUUUCCUUUUAAUGUGUAUUAAUAAUAAGUGAUUAUUUACCUCAUCUAUGGUUGUAUUAAAUUCCCUCAGUAUAUUUGUUCGGACACAGCGAUAAUUUGUCAGCUGAAUGGGUCUAUAAUUAUCACCAUAACCAUCAAUGUUAAGGGAAUUACGGAUCAACGAAAGCUGCUGAUCCUUCAUAGGUAAUAUAAUGGUCCAAUGUUGGUAACAAUUUAUGGAUACUCAUUGACUCCAGUUUAUGACUCGUACCUUAGGAAAGAAACAAUAAUGGAUAAAGAAAUCAAUGCUUCACGGUAAUCCAAGGAUAUUGAUUUGCGAUGGUAAAGUCUAUAUUGAUUAUCGAUGGGAAAUACCAAUACGUGGAGAUUAAUCAAGUAAAGCUUUGGAUCAAUGGUUGAAGUAAACAAUCAAAUUGCCAUUAACAGCCAACUUCGUCAUUUAAAUUAACAAAUUAUCACACAACUUGAAAAAUUACAUUCUCGGCUUGCCAGACUUAUAUCAAGAUGAAAUAUGGCAAAGACAAAAAACGACUGAAAUAUGGUGAAGCAAGGCUUUUCUUUCGAUAAUAUGUCUGGAUUAUGGUCGAUUAAAUGUCGAUUUUGGUUCUUGGAUUAUGGAUGAUCAACUAUCCAUCUCCACUAAUUAGUGUAUAAUAACGGAGAGGUUAUCAUCGAUAAUAAACGAUUUAACCGGAUCACUUGAUACUAAUUAUCAUUAUUAGCAACAUAGAGAAGCUUCUUUCUCACUUCACCUCUUGCUAUUGAAAGCUAUUUACAUUAUAAAUGGUGGGCUUUGAAGGCAAUCAAAUAAAAAUGUAAUGUUAACCUUUCAUUAUCUAUUAACCUUUUAUAAUAUGAUUGUCGAUUAAAGCCUUCUCAUCCAACCUCAAGUUAAUCGCACAAUCAUAAUUCAUCAGGAACAAAAAGAAGGAUAAAAUCAUCUCUUGCUUUGCACAAUUUCACAGCCUUAAUCUCCAUCAUAAUAUCAUCAAAUUUUUCAUCCUAACUCGAUCAUUUUCAUCAUCUUCUAUCAUCAUACUCAUCAUCAACAUUAUCAGCAUUAUCAUUCACAUUGACCGUGAACAAUAUUUCAUAUUAAACUAAUAACAGCCUGAGUAAGACCAGGUUGACCAAAUUGAUUAACUUA